UACGUAGGGUGCAAGCGUUAAUCGGAAUUACUGGGCGUAAAGCGUGCGCAGGCGGUUUUUGUAAGUCUGUCGUGAAAUCCCCGGGCUCAACCUGGGAAUUGCGAUGGAGACUGCAAGGCUAGAAUCUGGCAGAGGGGGGUAGAAUUCCACGUGUAGCAGUGAAAUGCGUAGAGAUGUGGAGGAACACCGAUGGCGAAGGCAGCCCCCUCGGGU
rnacentral:rRNA from 1 species